GACGAACGCUGGCGGCGUGCUUAACACAUGCAAGUCGAGCGAUGAAGCACCUUCGGGUGUGAAUUAGCGGCGAACGGGUGAGGAACACGUGAGAAAUCUGCCUUCAACUCUGGGAUAACUCCGUGAAAACGGGGCUAAUACCGGAUAUGAAACCUGCGGGCAUCCGCGGGUUUGGAAAGUUUUUCGGUUGAAGAUGAUCUCGCGGCCUAUCAGCUUGUUGGUGAGGUAAUGGCCCACCAAGGCGACGACGGGUAGCCGGCCUGAGAGGGCGACCGGCCACACUGGGACUGGGACACGGCCCAGACUCCUACGGGAGGCAGCAGUGGGGAAUAUUGGGCAAUGGAGGAAACUCUGACCCAGCGACGCCGCGUGCGGGAUGAAGGCCUUCGGGUUGUAAACCGCUUUCAGCAGGGAAGAAGCGAAAGUGACGGUACCUGCAGAAGAAGCACCGGCUAACUAUGUGCCAGCCGCCGCCGUAA
rnacentral:rRNA from 1 species